rnacentral:rRNA from 1 species
AUUGAACGCUGGCGGCGUGCCUAACACAUGCAAGUCGAGCGGUAACAGGUGUAGCAAUACAUGCUGACGAGCGGCGAACGGGUGAGUAAUGCUUCGGAAUCUGCCCUUUAGUGGGGAAUAACUAGCCGAAAGGUUAGCUAAUACCGCAUAAGACCUACGGGUGAAAGCAGGGGAUCGUAAGACCUUGCGCUGAUGGAUGAGCCGAAGUCGGAUUAGCUAGUUGGUAGGGUAACGGCCUACCAAGGCGACAAUCCGUAGCUGGUMUGAGAGGACGWCCAKCCACACUGGGACUGAGWCACGGCCCAGACUCCUACGGGAGGCAGCAGUGGGGAAUAUUGGACAAUGGGGGCAACCCUGAUCCAGCGACACCGCGUCCGUGAAGAAGGCCUGCGGGUUGUAAAGCACUUUUAGUG